rnacentral:rRNA from 1 species
CCGCAUUGUAAUUUGUAGAGGAUGCUUUGGGUGAAACGCCAGUCUAAGUUCCUUGGAACAGGACGUCAUAGAGGGUGAGAAUCCCGUAUGUGACUGGAAAUGUUAACCUAUGUAAAGCUCCUUCGACGAGUCGAGUUGUUUGGGAAUGCAGCUCUAAAUGGGAGGUAAAUUUCUUCUAAAGCUAAAUAUUGGCGAGAGACCGAUAGCGCACAAGUAGAGUGAUCGAAAGAUGAAAAGCACUUUGGAAAGAGAGUUAAAAAGCACGUGAAAUUGUUGAAAGGGAAGCGCUUGCAAUCAGACUUGUUUAAACUGUUCGGCCGGUCUUCUGACCGGUUUACUCAGUUUGGACAGGCCAGCAUCAGUUUCGGCGGCCGGAUAA